AGGGAUCAUUACAGAGUUCAUGCCCUUACGGGUAGAUCUCCCACCAUAUGUGAUCGUUACGUUAGUUUCUUCGGCGGGCCGUCAGGGUUCGGCUCGGCUACCGGCUUCGGCUGGUAAGCGCCCGCCAGAGAACCAUAAACUGUGAAUGUUAGUGUCGUCUGAGUACUAUAUUAAUAGUUAAAACUUUCAACAACGGAUCUCUUGGUUCUGGCAUCGAUGAAGAACGCAGCGAAAUGCGAUAAGUAAUGUGAAUUGCAGAAUUCAGUGAAUCAUCGAAUCUUUGAACGCACAUUGCGCCCCUUGGUAUUCCGGGGGGCAUGCCUGUUCGAGCGUCAUUACAACCCUCAAGCCUAGCUUGGUAUUGGGACUUCGCCUGCUCUGGCGGUCCUUAAAAACAGUGGCGGUGCCGUCGAGGCCCUGAGCGUAGUAAAUAUCCUCGCUAUAGGGACCCGGUGGACGCUGGCCAUUCAACCCUCACUUUCUAAGUUUGACCUCGGAUCAGGUAGGGAUACCCGCUGAACUUAA
rnacentral:rRNA from 1 species